rnacentral:rRNA from 1 species
AUGAACGCUGGCGGCGUGCCUAAUACAUGCAAGUCGAACGAAACUUCUUUAUCACCGAGUGCUUGCACUCACCGAUAAAGAGUUGAGUGGCGAACGGGUGAGUAACACGUGGGCAACCUGCCCAAAAGAGGGGGAUAACACUUGGAAACAGGUGCUAAUACCGCAUAACCAUAGUUACCGCAUGGUAACUAUGUAAAAGGUGGCUAUACUACCGCUUUUGGAUGGGCCCGCGGCGCAUUAGCUAGUUGGUAGGGUAAAGGCUUACCAAGGCAAUGAUGCGUAGCCGAAUUGAGAGGUUGAUCGGCCACAUUGGGACUGAGACACGGCCCAAACUCCUACGGGAGGCAGCAGUAGGGAAUCUUCCACAAUGGGCGAAAGCCUGAUGGAGCAACGCCGCGUGGGUGAAGAAGGUCUUCGGAUCGUAAAACCCUGUUGUUAGAGAAGAAAGUGCGUGAGAGUAACUGUUCACGUUUCGACGGUAUCUAACCAGAAAGCCACGGCUAACUACAU